GCCUGCUAAGUUAAGCAGGCCCAGGCUUUAUUACGAGGACUUAUCCUCUGAGGCCAAUGCAAUGGGGCCUUUUUUUUUUCUUACAAAUGCAGUGUAGGAGGGGCUCUGGGUCUUCUCCAGAGAUCCCAACAGGUUAUUACAGAUGUUUUGUGUUUUAUUUUUUUAUUUUAUUUUUUUUUGUAGCCUGAACAAGCCCACGUACUGACAGCAGCUGGAGCCCUCCAGGGACAGCUUCUGCAGGCCUCCUGCUCUCAUCCUGGUGGGGCUUGGGCUGUGAGGUGAGGAUGUGGUCUUCCUGUGGGAGCCUCUGAGUCCUGCCUGCCAGGAUGGGAGAGCUCUCACUUGAUCCCCGACUGGAGGAAGAGUCUUCACAAGCUGAAUGUGCAGCUGGAAGAGGUUAAAAAUUAACCCCGCAGUGAUGUGGAUACUUCAUUUUGAGUCCCCGGAAUAUCAAGCCUUUCCUUCUCCACUCAUUUGCUGAUCUUCCUCAGAGGACACUGACAUGCAGAGAGAACUCCUUUGAACAUCUCUGUCAUUCAGGGGCCAGUUACCCUGUGAAGUCCAGGAACACAGGAAGGUUGGCAGGAGCAAUUAGGUUUGAGCCAAGUUUGCUGAAGUCAGUAGAAGGUCUAUGAAGUCUUGUGGAUCCUGAGCUAAUUUGCCCAGUGUCGUUCUGCCUUCUGCAUGAUUCUCUUUCACAUUUUGGGCACAGAUUGGCUUUUAGUACGGUGGGCAAAGGAGUCAACCAUGCAAGAAAUUAGGAGCAAAGACUGUAGCACGUAACUAAAUCUGGAUUCAGCACAAAGAUUACCAACAUAAACCGAGAUCAGUUUGGCAGGAGGAAAACCACCCCUGGACCAGCAGCAGCAGCAUGUUCGCUGACCUGUGGGUUACAAGUGCAGUGUCACAGCAAACCCGGUUAGACGAGCGCUCGCCUGGCUCCCUGACCUCUCCUACUUGGCAGGCUUUUCUUCGCCUUUUUGACUGAGAGACCAACGUGGGAGUGAAUGAUGGAAACUAAACUGCCCCUCCAGCCCUUGAACUGCUCCCAGUACGUCCUGGUGCAGGUGCGCUGGCCAGGCAAGGUGAAGGAGAGGUCUCAUCGCUCCAGCAUGCGGGCUUGAUGUUCCCUGUAUGGUACAAGGAUUACUGCUUUUCUGUUCAGAAGGCUUCUUUGGAAAUUUCCUAGCCGAGUAAGGAAGGCUGCCUUGGUCACGCCAGUUUUGACAGGAGAGCAUCUGGAAAUCCAGGAUAUCCAGCUACAAACGAAAAUUAAAAAGCAAAUGGGAGAGAACAAGGUCUCCUGCCACAAAUCCACCUCCAGGGACCCUGAGAUGUGAGCACACGCAGCCACGCUUGCUUGAAAGCCAGCCUUCAGCCCUGCACAUCCUUUAAUGUCAGCUGGAGCAACACUGGCCUCUGAUUUGUGUGCUUGGCUCACCCGUGCAUGCAAGGCAAUGCAGCCCUUCCUCCUGAGGAGCUCCUCACCUCCAUCCUGGGGCGUCUGAGUGCCCAAAAUGGGCACAGCCUUCACAGACUCAGCAAUGAGACACCAGCUUUGCAUCUUACGGCAGAGGUGUGCCAAGGCUGCUCUAGUGUUCUUCCCUCCUUGGAGCCAGCAAUAGCAUUGGUGAGGCUGGAAAGUGAGGUGGUUUGGGAAACUGAGCUGGCAAAGAAGUCAUGUUAUGAGGAAAAAAAUAAUUUGCUAUGUGCUUGUCUUCUGGAGAGACAGAGCAAUGCCAACAGGAGGUACCUGUGUCCAGGGCUAAGAAAAUGGAACCCUGAUCUUCUCUGCCCUGAUGUGCUCUCUCCCUUGAGGGAGAAUAUCAAAGGGGAGGAUAUAGCCUGCAAAUCUUCUAUCUUAAAUGAAGAGGAGACCUUUGCACAACCCACACCUCUGAAUCAAAGCAGCUCCAUUCCCUUCCUCCCUGUUGUCAGGCCGUUGGGAGGUAGUUGGCACAGCACUUAUCAAAGGAAAUGUGGUCCUUUCCGUGAGCUUGUCUACUCAGUGUUAUUGUGUAAACAGAGAUCAAUAAGGUGACACAAAUCCUAUCCUAUUAGCAGCAUUCAGCAGCAAAUGAAGUACCCUUAAGUUUAGCAUAUUAUCAUUUCAUGCAUUUUACAGUUAAACUCUUAGAUAAGAUUAAUUACUUCCAAGGUGAGUGUUAACAAUUGUCUCCUCAUAAUUGAGUUUGGGACCAGUCCAGCACGGCUUUACAUCACCAAAAGAAAUCACAGACAAUUUCACAAUCGGAUAGAAAAGCUUUAUUUAACAGGCCUCAUGUUUCUUCUCUUAAAUUUUCCUUAAGACAAAAAUAGCUCCCUAGAAAAGAGCAUAUUCAGCACUGAUGGUGAACUUGAUAAAGAACUUAUCUACAGCUGGGGUUUUUAUUUCAUUUCUGUUUCUUCAAAUAUAAAUAUUUGAGGCACCCUGUUGGUCUUCUGAAGCCUUGUUUUCUGUCAGAAAACGGUGUUAAUGUUGGAUGGAGGGCCCAGAUUGCAGUGCCUGUUCCUGACAGCUCUUUUCUGGACACUCAGCUGAUGGAGGCAGUGCAAAGCAAAAGGGAGCAUGCUGCAAGGAACAAGGUUCAGAGCUGGGCGGGAUUUCUCCAAAGGAGGUGCAGCUGCCUGAGAAAGAGCCUAUGACUGCUGCUCAGGCGAAGCACUGACGUUAGCCUGAAGUGAGCAGGCUCCCUGCUCUGCUACCACCCACACACCUCAAGCGUAGUUUGACCAGAACAGCUGCUUGGUUCUGUGGUUGUGCUGCCCUUACGAUGUAAGGAACUGGAAGCAUUACCUUUACAGGCUAAUUUCCCCCACAUGGGACAAUCACUCAUUUUCUUUCUCAAGGCAGUGUGCAGGGAAGUUGAUUACUACUCAUUGUAAUCAACUUCCCUGCAUAAUCCCCUCAUCGCUCACUGCGAUGGGGGAUGGAGCCCAAGCAAUAAAAAGCCCACAGCUACACCCUCUAAAAGCAACAAAGAAAAGCCAAAAUUUCAAGAUGGGUGGUUUUUGAUGGGUGGCGUGAAUUCUGAGUCUUCCUGCUGCCUACAUUUUUCAGUCCUGUGCACUAGAAGCCUAUGUUUUUACUCUUGCUAUUAGCUCAUGAGGGUCUUAGAUAUUGCUCUGACUCUCAAGAAGAUGAGUUUUCUGGAAAACACCUUAUUAUCACAAGAUAUAAGCGUGAUACAAGAUCUAUGGCAGAAGCCUUGUUUGAGUUACUGGAUUGUAAUGCAAAAAACACAGGCGUUAGGUAGGAAGUGUGCAACUCCCUCGCAAUCCUUUCCCAUUUGGUGACGAGCUCUCAUUUGCUCCCUAGUUACAAGAUCACGAAGCAGUUGUCUUCUCGUUUCUGAAAUAUCAGCAAACCCUCCUCCACAAAACUGAAAAUGUUUUGAAUAAUAAAAUGAAGGGUGAGAUUUUUCAGGCUUGGCUGAAAACGACCAGACCCCACUACGACGAAAAAGGAUGGGAUCUCCACCUUGUCAGGGUAACCCUGCUUGGGAGAGCAUAGCUGGGACCUUUCAGCCUGUCAUGUGCCAAGAAGUGACAGCGGCAGAGGACCUCUGCUGUGACUGCUGGCCGUGCAGCUGGAUUUGUUUCAGAGAGCUCCUGAGCUGGUCUUCUGUGGGUGUCUGACUGCGUCUUGUUCAGAUGCAAGCCAGUCACCUGAGUUAACAUCUCUGCUUGAGAAGCAGCUGCAAGAUUGAUCUGUAACAGGACAUAAAAGGCAUUGGCAGCAUUGUUUUACUGCAGAGUUGAUUACACACAGCGUACUCACAUCGCACCGCUUCACGUUCCAGGAGGUGUUUAUCUCCUGGGUGAGGACUGGCACAGUGCUGUACCACGAAGCCUGGUAGAGCUGACUAAGUGGUUUAGUGUAAUCCUCCUAAGAAAGAUUGCUGUCCUGAAGGGAUUCCUGGGAAGGUUCUCUGCUUGUACCAGGCUUUUAGAUGGCUUUCAGUCAGGUUCCUGAGGGGCUUUUUGGAGUUUGUGCAGCUUUUCUGUGAUGCAGUUCCUUUCCAAGAGUUCCUCUUCUCUCUGGGUUGUGGUUGGGUCAGCAAGGUUUGUCACAGGGCUUGAAAAUAAUUGGUGUCACUGUAUGAAAUAAAAGCCAUUGUGUCAUCAGCUGAUUAAGCUAUGUCUCUGGCAAGUAGGCCACUGCACCAUCUAGGUACCUGGAAUAAAGAGCAAGCAGGAGCUCCUCAGAGUCACAGUGUUUGAGUCCUAUAUCCUCUCCUCUUAGUUUGUUACUGGCCACACAGUGAAAUUCUGGGUAAUGUAAGAAAUAUGGUCCCAGUUCACAGAUCUCAAGUGCAGGGAAGACCUUUGCAGUAAAAUUACUAAGUGCAGUUUUCCAGUAGGAAAAGAAAGCAGGCACUCUCUGUGUUAGAGUGAUAUUGCUCAACUAAGGUCAUACAUGAUAACAAAAAUAGAAGGUUGUACACAACAACAAAGUAGAAAUGAUGGUAGCUGCAACACGAGCCUUGAUGGUGGGGGAGAUUUUAGUCCAGAUAUAAAGCAUAUCCUUGGGGCCCUGGCAAGGAUGCAAACUUCUCUCCCACACAACCUCCGUCACUCUUGAAAAGCCAAGUUCUGGAAUUUUAAAAGGCAAAAAUAUUACAGCAACAGCAACAACAAACAUGCAAAUCAGAUGUUAAAUGACUACUAAUGAUUUUAUCAAUGUGUUGUGUAAACAGGAGGAAGAGGACAGAGAAAGAAGCACUCAACAUUCUUUGGGUUUAUUUUUUAAUUAUUCAACAAUUAUCGAUGAGACUAAAGCAAGCUAACAUUGGGGUUUUGCAGGGACGUUUCGAUUUUAUAAUGGAAAAAGCAUUGCGGUGUUUGGAGGAGGUGGGCACGUGGACUCUUGCAGUACAAAAGAAGCCGACAUAAGAAUCAAGUUUCAAGACCCUGUGGGAAGUUAGGGUUUUUGUCUAGACAGCUAAUUACAGCUUUUCUUGCAGGACUCAAACAUUCAGGAGCACCUACAGCAGAUUGCAGCAUGCACUGGUUGGCAUCCCAGAGCAGUACCCAUGGGGUGGUCGCAUGCCCAUCCCAUCCCACUGAUGGUGCUCCAAAACAGGUACCCACCACGUGCUCUGCUAGGGCAAGCAGAGAUGUGGCAACCAUGUCUGGCCAUUUUCUUUCUGUUGUUAAGAGCGAAGCACAUCUCAUUUGCUGAGGAAAACAAAAGCUCGGCUGGGAUCAUUACAGCUUGUGCUGCAUCCAGGCCGCUGUUCGACCCCGUUUCCUUUGGAGAUGAAGCCGGUUCGAGAGGGUCCCCUGGCCCCGAGCCCUGCUCCCCUUCCUGCCCAUCUGCUGCUGUGAGCUGUGGUGGCCUCUGCUGUGAGCCCCGUCACUGGAAGGAUUUUUGGGAGUUUACAGAGGUUGAUUUAAUCCUGGUACACACAGCUUCCCAGAAAAAAAAAAAAAAAAAAAAAAAAAAAAAAAAAAAAAAGCAACCACCUAGCAAGUUAAAACAGAUGGUUAUCUGCUAGAUUAGUGAGCUGAAGGGAGUCUUACAAGCCCCAAAGCCAACACAAAAGAGAAAAUGGGAGCUUCAUCCUGGAGCCGGGGAUGCAGACGGGGAUGAUGAGCAAGACCUGGGGGAGGAAGAGCCUUGCCCGCUAUCGGCUGCGGCAGGCUGUGGGAUUGGCUCCACCAUGACGUGUCGUUUCACUUUCUGUGUGCCAUUGGGGUUGAAAAUAGCCCUGCUUAAAAAAAUAAAAACAGGUUGUGGCUUGGGUUUGGCUGGAUUUUGUGUGCGCAAACCGUCAGCAGCUCCAGAGCCUGACCCCACUGCU